UGGGGAAUCUUAGACAAUGGGCGCAAGCCUGAUCUAGCCAUGCCGCGUGGACGAUGAAGGCCUUAGGGUUGUAAAGUCCUUUCGCUGGGGAAGAUAAUGACGGUACCCAGUAAAGAAGCCCCGGCUAACUCCGUGCCAGCAGCCGCGGUAAUACGGAGGGGGCUAGCGUUGUUCGGAAUUACUGGGCGUAAAGCGCGCGUAGGCGGACCAGAAAGUCAGAGGUGAAAUCCCAGGGCUCAACCUUGGAACUGCCUUUGAAACUCCUGGUCUAGAGUUCGAGAGAGGUGAGUGGAAUUCCGAGUGUAGAGGUGAAAUUCGUAGAUAUUCGGAGGAACACCAGUGGCGAAGGCGGCUCACUGGCUCGAUACUGACGCUGAGGUGCGAAAGCGUGGGGAGCAA
rnacentral:rRNA from 1 species